rnacentral:rRNA from 1 species
UACGGAGGGUGCAAGCGUUAUCCGGAUCCACUGGGUUUAAAGGGUGUGUAGGCGGGUAUUUAAGUCAGUGGUGAAAUCUCCAGGCUCAACCUGGAAACUGCCAUUGAUACUAUUUAUCUUGAAUAUUGUUGAGGUAGGCGGAAUAUAUCAUGUAGCGGUGAAAUGCUUAGAUAUGAUAUAGAACACCGAUUGCGAAGGCAGCUUACUAAACAAUCAUUGACGCUGAGGCACGAAAGCGUGGGGAUCAAACAGG